AGCCACCAGUGUGCACUAUUAUUGGUGGUAAUUCCUGCUCAAUGGAGCCAAAUUCUCUCUAAAUAGCCGCAGUACCUUGACUGUGCUAAGGUAGCAUAAUAAAUUGAUUAGUAAUUUUAAUCUUGGAUGAAAGGAAAAUUGAGGUGCUGUCUGUCUACUAUAUAGGGUUAAAUUGAACUUAUUAAAAGUGUGAAAAUCCACUUACGCAAUUAAAAUAGACGAGAAGACCCUUAAAGUUUACAUUAGUAUAAAUCAAUUCACAAAGUGAUUUUUUCAUUUUUGUUGGGGUAACAACUGAAGUCAAUCACUUAUAAUAUCAGGUUUAUAUUUAGCUUACUAGCCAUAAUUAUUCAUUGACAGACUAAACUACUUAAGGGAUAACAGCAUUAUCCUCUUAUGGGAUUAUGACCUCGAUGUUGGACUAGGUACUAUACGAUUAGACAUCAUAUUAGUGUGCUCUGUUCGAGCAACACCUCUCACCU
rnacentral:rRNA from 1 species